UACGGUCAAAUCACGGUUCUGAAAACACCGGUUCUCGUUCGAUCACCGAAGUUAAGCAUCGUAGAGCCAGGUCCAGGUCAGUACUUAGAUGGGGGACAGCUUGUGAACACCUGGUACUGUAAG